rnacentral:lncRNA from 1 species
UGUCUCGCUGCUCCCCAGAAGGCAAGCGUCAGAUGGUGCACAAUAUCCUCAGCAGAAGAGAACAAAUGCAAUAAUCUACGGGAGCUCAUGCAACAAGAGAGCGUUGCAUUGAGUUGCCUGCAGAAAUCAACGUACCUCGACUGCAUAAAAGCCAUUUCGAAUAAUGAAGCGGAUGGUAUUAGCUUGGACGGUGGUCAAGUUUUUGAGGCUGGCCUUGCCCCCUACAA